ACUACGGAGAGUUUGAUCCUGGCUCAGGAUGAACGCUAGCGGGAGGCCUAAUACAUGCAAGUCGGACGGCAGCGGGGCCCUUCGGGGCUGCCGGCGAGUGGCGCACGGGUGAGU
rnacentral:rRNA from 1 species